rnacentral:rRNA from 1 species
AGAGUUUGAUCAUGGCUCAGGAUGAACGCUAGCUACAGGCUUAACACAUGCAAGUCGAGGGGAAACGACAUCGAAAGCUUGCUUUUGAUGGGCGUCGACCGGCGCACGGGUGAGUAACGCGUAUCCAACCUGCCCACCACUUGGGGAUAACCUUGCGAAAGUAAGACUAAUACCCAAUGACGUCUCUAGAAGACAUCUGAAAGGGAUUAAAGAUUUUAUCGGUGAUGGAUGGGGAUGCGUCUGAUUAGCUUGUUGGCGGGGUAACGGCCCACAAGGCUACGAUCAGUAGGGGUUCUGAGAGGAAGGUCCCCCANAUUGGAACUGAGACACGGUCCAAACUCCUACGGGAGCA